GCGUUCGUAGCUCACCUGGAUAGAGUACCAGACUUCGAAUCUGGUGGUAGCAGGUUCGAGUCCUGCCGGACGCG
rnacentral:tRNA from 1 species